rnacentral:rRNA from 2 species
GGAUUCCCCUAGUAACUGCGAGUGAAGCGGGAAAAGCUCAAAUUUAAAAUCUGGUGGCCUUUGGUCAUCCGAGUUGUAGUCUGGAGAAGUGCUUUCCGCGUUGGACCGUGUAUAAGUCUCUUGGAAUAGAGCGUCAUAGAGGGUGAGAAUCCCGUCUUUGACACGGACUACCAGUGCUUUGUGAUGCGCUCUCAAAGAGUCGAGUUGUUUGGGAAUGCAGCUCAAAAUGGGUGGUAAAUUCCAUCUAAAGCUAAAUAUUGGCGAGAGACCGAUAGCGAACAAGUACCGUGAGGGAAAGAUGAAAAGCACUUUGGAAAGAGAGUUAAACAGUACGUGAAAUUGCUGAAAGGGAAACACUUGAAGUCAGUCGUGUUGUUUGGAACUCAGCCUUGCUUUUGCUUGGUGCACUUUCUGAAUGACAGGCCAGCAUCAAUUUUGACCGUUGGAAAAAGGCAGGGGGAAUGUGGCACCUUCGGGUGUGUUAUAGCCUCUUGUCACAUACAACGGUUGGGAUUGAGGACCGCAGCACGCCGCAAGGCAGGGGGUUUCCCACUUUCGUGCUUAGGAUGCUGGCAUAAUGGCUUUAAAUGACCCGUCUUGAAACACGGACCAAGGAGUCUAACAUGCCUGCGAGUGUUUGGGUGGAAAACCCGAGCGCGUAAUGAAAGUGAAAG